rnacentral:rRNA from 1 species
AUUGAACGCUGGCGGCAGGCUUAACACAUGCAAGUCGAGCGAGCGGCGGACGGGUGAGUAAUGUCUCGGAAACUGCCUGAUGAAGGGGGAUAACUACUGGAAACGGUAGCUAAUACCGCAUACUAUCAGAUGUGCCCAGAUGGGAUGAGCUAGUAGUUGGGGUAAUGGCUCACCUAGGCGACGAUCCCUAGCUGGUCUGAGAGGAUGACCAGCCACCCUGGAACUGAGACACGGUCCGAACUCCUACGUGAGGCAGCAGUGGGGAAUAUUGCACAAUGGGCGCAAGCCUGAUGCAGACAUGCCGCGUGUGUGAAGAAGGCCUUAGGGUUGUAAAGCACUUUCAGCGAGGAGGCGUUACUCGCAGAAGAAGCACCGGCUAACUCCGUGCCAGCAGCCGCGGUAAUAC